AUUGAACGCUGGCGGCAGGCCUAACACAUGCAAGUCGAGCGGCAGCGGGAAAGUAGCUUGCUACUUUUGCCGGCGAGCGGCGGACGGGUGAGUAAUGCCUGGGAAAUUGCCCAGUCGAGGGGGAUAACAGUUGGAAACGACUGCUGAUACCGCAUACGCCCUACGGGGGAAAGCAGGGGACCUUCGGGCCUUGCGCGAUUGGAUAUGCCCAGGUGGGAUUAGCUAGUUGGUGAGGUAAUGGCUCACCAAGGCGACGAUCCCUAGCUGGUCUGAGAGGAUGAUCAGCCACACUGGAACUGAGACACGGUCCAGACUCCUACGGGAGGCAGCAGUGGGGAAUAUUGCACAAUGGGGGAAACCCUGGUGCAGCCAUGCCGCGUGUGUGAAGAAGGCCUUCGGGUUGUAAAGCACUUUCAGCGAGGAGGAAAGGUCAGUAGCUAAUAUCUGCUGACUGUGACGUUACUCGCAGAAGAAGCACCGGCUAACUCCGUGCCAGCCGCCGCAGUAAUAC
rnacentral:rRNA from 1 species